UUCAGGUGCAGAGGCACGAGCUCUAGCACCAAGGGGUGACGAUGGAGUUGGGGUUAGAUUCCUGUAGCAAGAUGCAGAGCAAUGAGCAAAACAGCAUACCGGCAUGGGAGCUGUCUUGGGCAAGAAGAACAACGGUGGUGCGAGAGCCUCGAUGGGACAAGAGAAGAUGGUGCCACCCGAGUGGGCAAGCGGUGCUACACGCAGCCUCAGAGGGGUGAAUCUUCACGCAGGCAAACGGUCUGAGGUGCCACGCGGGCUGCCUUUGGAACGGGAAGAGCAUUUGAGAUAAAGAGAAACGUGUCGACUGCAGGAUCGUAUCAGGCAGCAGAUGUGACUUGAGCUGCUUCUGCCAAGCAUGGCUCAGGCUCUCGGACCUCUGAAAGCUAGGUGGAGGGACUAGGGCUGGGGUUGUGCUGGGAAGAGGGGAGGUGACUUGUAAUAGCAGGGAGCGGUUUGAGAGGUAGCAUAGAAGAGAGAACUGUGCAGGAAGAGUCCCCUUUGGGCAGGUAAAGGCAGAGGGGUCUCCUUCUCAGUCUAAAGCGAUCGUGUGCCAGGCAAAGUGGUUCUAGUCUGUCUGUGUUGUUGUCGUUUACGUAGUCCACGUGCUGUGCCUUAGGUCUUUCACAGGCCUCGAUGUCCUCUUUGUGCUCAAGGAAUGCUUGGGCAUCAUCUGUAGGGUCUCAAGUGCCUGUACUCAUUGUUCCCAUGCCAAUUGGGCACUGCUUGUCUCGCAUUGCUGUCUUACAGCAUGCAUGGGUCUUGCUUUCUGGAAGUUUCUGGUCAGUUGUCUAUUGCAGCGGCAUCGCAGGCCACGUCAACUUCUCUGAUCGAGUGCUUGCUUGCACUUCCUUGCAUCUGUCCCCUCUUCUGGGACUUCUUCUGUGCAUCCUCUACGUUCUAAGGUCUUUAAGCACCACUUCUUGCACUUGCAUCCUCCCACUUCUGGCCAUAUCCCUUACUAAGGGACUACGGUCUUCCACUUUUCUGGGGCUGCCGCUGAGACUUCCUCGCAGCCCCUACGUAUUCUUGCCCUGUCGCAUCUCUGGUCUGGGGGUCAUUCUCCUUAGAGUUUUCUUUUGUCUCUGGUGUGUCAUUGGUUUCACGUGCAGUGUCGUUGCAUGUAUUUGUCUGGUUGGAGCUGCUCUGCCCGAGGCAAGGAAGUAAUAAGUGUGAACAGAAGUAUAUCGGUAAGGUUCUGUGGUUAAUGUGCUGAUAUGCUCUGUACUUGUAGCCUAGUAUACAUACAGUAUGCUGCCCAUCGAGUAGCCAUAGAUGCAACAGCUGAGGAAAGUAGUUUCUGCCUGGCUCUGCAGCUGCAGGGGGAUGAACAAGACUGUGUGGGAUAAGCCAUUGGAGCGGUAGCAAAGCAGUUCAUAAUCAAGGGUGUUAUUUAUGGUAUGUGUGGAACUUAACAUUUGGGUUUGGUUGGGUUUUUUGGUUUCUUUUUCUGCCUGCUUGUAGUGUGAAAGAGGGUUAUUAUUCUCAAAUGGAAACAAGAUGUCUGUAAUUGUUAAGCUACUGCUGAGUAUUGAGGUGACUUAUUCAGUAUUGGUUUUCAGAUGCAGGAGGGCAACCUGUGUGCCAAAUGGUGAUUGCUAGGCAAGGAGAAUGCAAGCAUCAGAUGCAUGCAAGCAAGCCAGCCCUCGGUGCAUGCAAGCAAGCCCUUGAUAUGUUCAGGCAAGCCGGCCCUCGGUGCAAGGAACCCAGCAUUUGUGUGCAGGCUAGGCCUUGGUGCAUGCACUUGAAACAAGGACUUGGUGCAAGCAAGCCGACCCUUGGUGCAUACUCCUAAAGCAAGGACUUGAUGCAAGGUCUUAGUGCAGCCACGUAAUCACUCGAUGCCAGCUCUUGCCAGCCAGAAGUUAAUGCAGGCAUGAAAGCAAGGCAGCCAGAUAGUCUUUAGUGGGUGUACUUGAUGUCAGCUAGCCCUUGGUGCGUGCAUACAAGCAAGCAGUUCCUGCCAAGACUGGAUGCAGCCAGCAAGGACUUGGUGCACGCACUUGAUGCCUGCCUGCCAGCCAG